CAGCAGCCGCGGGAAUACGAACCGUGCGAACGUUAUUCGGAAUCACUGGGCUUAAAGCGCGUGUAGGUGGGUGGGUACGUCCGUCGUUGAAAGCCCCCGGCUCAACCGGGGAACUGGCGCGGAUACGGCCUACCUGGAGGGACGUAGGGGGACCUGGAACUUCCGGUGGAGCGGUGAAAUGCGUUGAGAUCGGAAGGAACGCCCGUGGCGAAAGCGAGGUCCUGGACGUUUUCUGACACUGAGACGCGAAAGCCAGGGGAGCGAACGGGAUUAGAUACCCCUGUAGUCCCUGUCUCUUAUU
rnacentral:rRNA from 1 species